rnacentral:rRNA from 1 species
UACGUAGGGUGCAAGCGUUAAUCGGAAUUACUGGGCGUAAAGCGUGCGCAGGCGGUUUGCUAAGACCGGUGUGAAAUCCCCGGGCUUAACCUGGGAACUGCAUUGGUGACUGGCAAGCUAGAGUGUGGCAGAGGGGGGUAGAAUUCCACGUGUAGCAGUGAAAUGCGUAGAGAUGUGGAGGAAUACCGAUGGCGAAGGCAGCCCCCUGGGCCAACACUGACGCUCAUGCACGAAAGCGUGGGGAGCAAACAGG